rnacentral:rRNA from 1 species
GGCUAGCGUUGCUCGGAAUCACUGGGCGUAAAGGGUGCGUAGGCGGUUCUUUAAGUCAGCGGUGAAAUCCUGGAGCUCAACUCCAGAACUGCCUUUGAUACUGAAGAUCUUGAGUUCGGGAGAGGUGAGUGGAACUGCGAGUGUAGAGGUGAAAUUCGUAGAUAUUCGCAAGAACACCAGUGGCGAAGGCGGCUCACUGGCCCGAUACUGACGCUGAGGCACGAAAGCGUGGGGAGCAAACAGG